rnacentral:rRNA from 1 species
GGGAUAACCCUCGGAAACGGGGGCUAAUACCGGAUAUGACCUUCUGUCGCAUGGCAGUUGGUGGAAAGUUUUUCGGCUUGGGAUGGGCUCGCGGCCUAUCAGCUUGUUGGUGGGGUGAUGGCCUACCAAGGCGACGACGGGUAGCCGGCCUGAGAGGGCGACCGGCCACACUGGGACUGAGACACGGCCCAGACUCCUACGGGAGGCAGCAGUGGGGAAUAUUGCACAAUGGGCGGAAGCCUGAUGCAGCGACGCCGCGUGAGGGAUGACGGCCUUCGGGUUGUAAACCUCUUUCAGCAGGGACGAAGCGUGAGUGACGGUACCUGCAGAAGAAGCGCCGGCCAACUACGUGCCAGCAGCCGCGGUAAGACGUAGGGCGCGAGCGUUGUCCGGAUUUAUUGGGCGUAAAGAGCUCGUAGGCGGCUUGUCGCGUCGACCGUGAAAACUUGGGGCUCAACCCCAAGCCUGCGGUCGAUACGGGCAGGCUAGAGUUCGGUAGGGGAGACUGGAAUUCCUGGUGUAGCGGUGAAAUGCGCAGAUAUCAGGAGGAACACCGGUGGCGAAGGCGGGUCUCUGGGCCGAUACUGACGCUGAGGAGCGAAAGCGUGGGGAGCGAACAGGAUUAGAUACCCUGGUAGUCCACGCUGUAAACGUUGGGCGCUAGGUGUGGGGGGCCUCUCCGGUUCUCUGUGCCGCAGCUAACGCAUUAAGCGCCCCGCCUGGGGAGUACGGCCGCAAGGCUAAAACUCAA